AUUGAACGCUGGCGGCAUGCUUUACACAUGCAAGUCGAACGGUAACAGGCCGCAAGGUGCUGACGAGUGGCGAACGGGUGAGUAAUGCAUCGGAACGUGCCCAGUCGUGGGGGAUAACUACUCGAAAGAGUAGCUAAUACCGCAUACGAUCUAUGGAUGAAAGCGGGGGACCGUAAGGCCUCGCGCGAUUGGAGCGGCCGAUGUCAGAUUAGGUAGUUGGUGGGGUAAAGGCUCACCAAGCCAACGAUCUGUAGCUGGUCUGAGAGGACGACCAGCCACACUGGGACUGAGACACGGCCCAGACUCCUACGGGAGGCAGCAGUGGGGAAUUUUGGACAAUGGGCGCAAGCCUGAUCCAGCAAUGCCGCGUGCAGGAAGAAGGCCUUCGGGUUGUAAACUGCUUUUGUACGGAACGAAACGGCUCUGGUUAAUACCCGGCGCUAAUGACGGUACCGUAAGAAUAAGCACCGGCUAACUACGUG
rnacentral:rRNA from 1 species